UAGGGAAUCUUCGGCAAUGGACGAAAGUCUGACCGAGCAACGCCGCGUGCGUGAAGAAGGUUUUCGGAUCGUAAAACUCUGUUGUUAGAGAAGAACAAGGACGUUAGUAACUGAACGUCCCCUGACGGUAUCUAACCAGAAAGCCACGGCUAACUACGUGCCAGCAGCCGCGGUAAUACGUAGGUGGCAAGCGUUGUCCGGAUUUAUUGGGCGUAAAGCGAGCGCAGGCGGUUUCUUAAGUCUGGUGUGAAAGCCCCCGGCUCAACCGGGGAGGGUCAAUGGAAACUGGGAGACUUGAGUGCAGAAGAGGAGAGUGGAAUUCCAUGUGUAGCGGUGAAAAGCGUAGAUAUAUGGAGGAACACCAGUGGCGAAGGCGGCUCUCUGGUCUGUAACUGACGCUGAGGCUCGAAAGCGUGGGGAGCAAACAGG
rnacentral:rRNA from 1 species